CGAGAACGAACGCUGGCGGCAUGCCUAACACAUGCAAGUCGAACGAGACCUUCGGGUCUAGUGGCGCACGGGUGCGUAACGCGUGGGGAUCUGCCCUUUGCUUCGGAAUAACAGUUAGAAAUGACUGCUAAUACCGGAUGAUGACUUCGGUCCAAAGAUUUAUCGGCAAAGGAUGAACCCGCGUAGGAUUAGCUAGUUGGUGGGGUAAAGGCCUACCAAGGCGACGAUCCUUAGCUGGUCUGAGAGGAUGAUCAGCCACACUGGGACUGAGACACGGCCCAGACUCCUACGGGAGGCAGCAGUGGGAAUAUUGGACAAUGGGCGAAAGCCUGAUCCAGCAAUGCCGCGUGAGUGAUGAAGGCCUUAGGGUUGUAAAGCUCUUUUACCCGGGAUGAUAAUGACAGUACCGGGAGAAUAAGCUCCGGCUAACUCCGUG
rnacentral:rRNA from 1 species